GCGUCGGUGGUAUAACGGUUAGCAUAGCUGCCUUCCAAGCAGUUGACCCGGGUUUCGACUCCCGGCCGACGCA
rnacentral:tRNA from 1 species